GCGUGAACGGUGAAAUAAAUCCGGUACGCGCCUCACCGCUCUUCACGUUAUACACGGUGAUAGACGGAAAAGCAGUGACAACAAAGGAAAGUACAAUCCUUUAUAUCUUUACCCCCCCCCCAUCCCUUUCCUUGCGUAUGAUUUUUAGCUGACAGAACCAUGCGAAAACACCCUAUUAGCGUGAGAUUGCAUGCCACAUCAAUCAAGGAUGGUUGGAAUCGAUCAAAACCGUCUAGUCACCCUUUCUCUUUUUGGAAUGGGACCAAAAAUAUCAGAAAAAGUUUGUUUUUGACAAAAUAGUGAAAGAUUUUUAAAUUCAUGUCCCCCCUCCCUUUCAUUCAUUUUUUAUCCCCCCUUUUUCCGAGCCCUACUUCUACCUUGAUAAAUAUUGGUUUUGUGGUUCACUGUUAUGGGGGCAGAGGUUGGGGGAAUUUUUCUUAGUCGGUGAACAUUUUUUUUAGAGAAGUUUCUAUGUGAGAAAGAGGAAACAACAUGUAGAAUUUUGGUUCGAGAAGGUUUGAGAAAAAUAAAAUAUUAGAAUGAAAAACUUAAGAAAAGAGAAAGUAAAAGGUACACAAAAUAUGUGGGUUUCAAGUAGUCCCAACUUCCAAACAAGUAUUAUAGUAGGCACCAGGUUGCCGAGUCCUUCUUAUUGAUCGUUGGAAUUUCCGUAACUCGUGUGUCUGAAGGAAGCCGAAAUCCCUCAGAUCGUUGUCAUCCCACUUCUCUGCAACUAGAAAGACGCAGGUAACCAUGAUCAACACACAUCACAUCAUUGAUCGAGGUUAACAGUUCACAGUCAUUAGAAAUGGUGUCACAACCAUUCCUCAUCGUUCUCUAUACAAUCUUCAUGUUAUCCACAUGUGCCCUGGUGUCAAAGACCAGAUUUGAUGUUUAUGGAUCAUUUCCCAGAGUUUUUGCCAAACAAAUUAAGAUGAAUACAAUGACGUUAAAGGAAAGGUUGACACUGUGUAAGCUAUACGAAUUGGAAUUCAGGAUCCAGCUGUUGAUAUUAGAGAAGGCUUUGAAAAGUACUUGGAUUCUUAUGUUCCAAGUUUGGUAGGUCCUUACUUUUCGAGGACGAUGCUAUUAUGUACCUAUGGGAUGUUGUCUAGUCUUAAAGAAACUCCGCGCAUUAUCUUUCAUUUUUAUACUAUAAUUGUAAAGCCUAUAUGUGACUAUAAUUUUUUAUGUAAGCGCUAUGGACAAAUUGUGAUACUUAGAUUGUUUAAAA